GGGACUGCAAACUGUAUCCAGCAGCGGUUGUAGAGCAUUAACAUUUCGAUCGAAGCUUUUGGUAGCUGCACAGAGAGAAGUUAGGUUCUCACCACUUAAAUGCCAUCUACAUGCGAAGAAAACAUCAGCAUCAAGAAUGUGAUCUUAGGGAACACACCUCCCAGGAGAACCAAGUCAAGAAAGUGGAUCCUUUCAGGUCACUGAAGUCAACAAUGCCCUCUGCAUCAGAAUCGAAAAGUUUCAUGGUCAAAUCAGUGACACCUAUUGGUUUUUGGCAUAGAAGACAACCGUG
rnacentral:lncRNA from 1 species